rnacentral:rRNA from 1 species
AACGAACGCUGGCGGCAUGCCUAACACAUGCAAGUCGAACGAGACCUUCGGGUCUAGUGGCGCACGGGUGCGUAACGCGUGGGAACCUGCCCUUAGGUUCGGAAUAACUCCCCGAAAGGGGUGCUAAUACCGGAUAAUGUCUUCGGACCAAAGAUUUAUCGCCUUUGGAUGGGCCCGCGUUGGAUUAGCUAGUUGGUAGGGUAAAAGCCUACCAAGGCGACGAUCCAUAGCUGGUCUGAGAGGAUGAUCAGCCACACUGGGACUGAGACACGGCCCAGACUCCUACGGGAGGCAGCAGUGGGGAAUAUUGGACAAUGGGCGAAAGCCUGAUCCAGCAAUGCCGCGUGAGUGAUGAAGGCCUUAGGGUUGUAAAGCUCUUUUACCCGGGAUGAUAAUGACAGUACCGGGAGAAUAAGCUCCGGCUAACUCGGUG